AUGACUGCAGCAUGCGCUUCAUCUAGUAGGCUGCGCAUCUUGUCCAAAGCAUCUUGUAGCUUUUCAAUUUCUCUCAUGCGGUUCUUGUUGAGAAGUGAGGACAAAUUGCCAUAUACUUUUUACAUGGAGGAACAAGAGCUCGUUGUCCCUCUUGAAUCUUACUUACAGAAAAACAAAGUUUCUGUGGAGAAGGUGUUGUCCAUAGUCUAUCAGCCACAAGCCAUUUUCCGAAUUCAUCCUGUAAAUUGCUGUUCAGCAACAAUUGCUGGUCAUUCAGAAUCUGUGCCCUUUAGUCCUGACGGGAAGCAACUGGCUGGUGGUUCAGGAGAUACCACUGUCCGAUUGUGGGACCUAAAGACUCAGACCCCGAUGUUUACAUGCACAGGACACAAGAAGUGGGUCCUCUCUAUUGCAUGGUCACCUGAUGGUAAGCAUCUUGUAAGUGGAAGCAAGGCUGGGGAACUCCAAUGUUGGGAUUCGUUGACCGGGCAACCAUCAGGCAAUCCACUUGUUGGCCACAAGAAAUGGAUCACAGGUAUAUCUUGGGAACCAGUCCAUCUGAGUUCACCAUGCCGUCGCUUUGUGAGUUCUAGUAAAGAUGGUGAUGCACGCAUAUGGGAUGUAACACUAAGGAGACAUGUAAUAUGUCUGAGCAGUCACACUCUAGUGGGGAGGAGACGGUGUAAUAUAUUCUGGCUCCUAGGACCGCACAAUCAAAGUCUGGGAAACUUCCCAGGGGAAGCUGAUAAGGGAAUUGAAGGUUCAUGGACAUUGGGUUAACUCCCAUGCUCUGAGUACUGAGUAUGUUCUUCGGACUGGAGCAAUAUGCAUUAGUCAGUCCCUGCGUCUUUUUGCUCUGUGCAUGUUCUCCCCUCCUGUGGUUGCAUUAGAAAGGUACAAGAAAAUGAAAGGCAAUGUUCCUGAAAGAUUGGUUUCUGGAGCUGAUGAUUUUACCAUUUUUUGUGGGAACCUUCUAUCAGCAAGCACCCAAAAACGCGAAUGACUGGUCAACAGCUUGUGAAUCACGUCUACUUCUCAUCCGAUGGGCAAUGGGUGGCUAGUGCUUCGUUCGAUAAAUCUGUGAAGUUGUGGAAUGGUAUUACUGGGAAGUUUGUUGCUGCAUUCGAGGGACAUGUCGGGCCUGUAUAUCAGAUAAGUUGGUCUGUAGAUAGUAGACUUCUUUUAAGUGGGAGCAAAGACGUGCAUCGGGUUGGUCUGCGGGGCUUCUUGUCUGAAAAUCGAGCUCGUUGGCUACUUCUUGCGAGAAAGCUGGACUACAGGUUGAAAGAUCGACUUGAAAUUCAGAAGAUGCGUAAUCUCUGCGGCUGUGUUGAAGUUAAGCAAUCAACUGUAGCAGUUGUGGAAAAAUUUGGCAAGCAUCACAAAAAUCUGGAGGCUGGACGCCACUAUGAGAAUGAGUAUGUAAAGGUUACUGCAUUUGUGCACUAUAAAGCCAUCAGUUGCAAUGCAACUGAGGUCUUUUACAAUUAUAGCAAUCCGAGGAAGCUGAUUCAGAAUUACAUGAUCCAUGCGAUUGCAGCUUAUGCUGAAAGAUACAACUUCGAUGAACUUUCUGUGAUAGAAUUUCCACAGCUUUUGCUUGGCUCUGGAUAUGAGCUUGUGAAAGUUGUGAUUGUGAGCAUAGAACCGGAUAAGCAUCUUGAGAAUGCAUUGAUGAAAACAAGUGAUGGACAGAGGGAGGCUGCACGUCAACAACUUUAUGCAGAACUCUCUGCAUAUAGGCAUAAGUGCAUUGUCGAUGGUUGGAAGAACAUGGGCUUUGGAGAGAAUAUAAACAUGAUCCAGACGUCCCUAUACAUUGAUGCAUGGAGGGAAAUAGGGGCAAAGUCAAGUUCAUCUGUGAACUUGCUCCCUCCACAAGGUCCAGGACCCAUCCGGGGAGUUCAAGCAUCCACACAAUCGACACGAUCCUGA